AUGCGGGAGGAGAGCGAGGGAAUGGAAUUCCUACUUGAUGCGGUCGACAGGUUCCCGGUGCGGGAGGAGUAUGCCGACAAUAUUGAACACCCAGAUCCAAUCCCACUGAUGUACCUACUGGAUAAGGGUACUGCUAACCCGGAUGUUCACCAAGCGGAUGUUGAUUCUGCGGCAGCUGAGAUGUUCGGAGAUGGUUUGCUCAGCGAGGGGCAGGUGGGCUGCCAACGUAGACGUGAGGAAUCUCCGACAAGGUCUGCCCAAUCGACCGGCAGGGUAAAUCCACAGGCCCCCGGAUGGACUAAAAGGCUCCGUCUCGGGAGUGCGCCACCCGACCGUGUGCCUUGUCCAUCUAGGAUGAGCGCACUGGAGCUAUCAAUGCGCAAAUAUGUCGAGCAACCGGACAAGAGUGUGGUGCAUCCUGAGCUAGGCCUUAGUUUUGAUUCACUUGGUGAGGCGUACGAUUUCUACAACUUGUAUUCCUGGGAAAUUGGAUUCGGAAUAAGAUAUGGAAAGAGCAGGUUGAAUGCUGAGAGGAAGAAAACCAUGCAGGAAAUAGUAUGUGGUUGUUCGAUGCCGAGAAUAGCAGGUCAUGCAGGUGCGAGUGCCCGGCUCUAA
rnacentral:rRNA from 1 species